UAACAUGAUUUGUUUUCUACAUAUCCUUUUCUUCUGGCAUUCAUGAUGUGACACCUCUACUCCUACACCUAGGAUACUAGUUCACAAAUCUUAUUACUCCCCACAUUUUUAAUUAUUUUUAAAAAAAAUGUUAGAUACUGUGUCCUCCUCGAUACUCAUCAUUGUUUUAUCCAUUUCCGGAAUAUUUAUAAUACAAGUUUUCUAAAAUCGUAUUUAGCCAAAAAUAUAUAUAAAAAUUAAAAAAAUAUCUAAAACCACAUAAAACAUAACGUUCUCUUUUUUUUUUUUUUUAUGGUUUUGUUUGGUAUUGGAAGCAAAAUGAGAAAUCUCGUUUUCCAUGAAGAAGCAUUUACUUUUUGUGUGAUGUGUUAAUAAUCAUAAUUGGCUUUCUCUGAUGCAUGGCCUCUGCCAAAAGAAAUAAUAAUACUACGA
rnacentral:lncRNA from 1 species